rnacentral:lncRNA from 1 species
AAGUCGGGAAAUCUGGAGCUUGCGUGAACUACCUUUACUUUAUUCAUUAGGCACUGCCCUUUCUUCCUCCGGAAAUGAGGGUGGAUAUGUAAUGGAAAUUAAGCUUGCCUAUGUAAUUGCCAAAAUUACCCUGUAAGCAUUUCUGGCCCAGGAACCAGGUAACUUCCAGGCAUGCUGGGAAUUGUAGUUUUUCGUAACAAGGCUUCGUGGAAAGUACGGUGGCCAAAUUGUUUAUCUCUAUAAAUCCCUACAACAUGUGACAGGCGGCUAUUCCGGCUGGGAAAUUCUGCGGAUAUUUCUGACCCAGGUCCAUCUCUUGGGUACUGAAAUCCCAUUGUGGAAGCCUGAAUGAGUGACUUGAUUUGUGGUAGAUAGACCAAGAAAAUCCACUGUGGAUACAAUUGCUAAACCUAAAGAACAGAAAUUGAAUGGGGGUGAUUGAGUCAUGAAGUGAUGAAAAACAGAGAUUCUGUACUAACAGUGAAUCAGCUGUAGAAACCAGAGACUGAGGGAAAAGCAUUAAAAUCUCAGAGCGAGGGUGUGACUGCGAGCUUGCUGGUCCUUGCUAUGUUGUCUCUUUUGAAUGCAUAUGUUACUACUCAUCAUAUUGUUUCCUAAGCACAGAUGGUCACACAAACACUUUAUGAAUAUAUAUUCAUGUCCUGCAUGAUGAAAAAAAUAACUAUUAACCAAAUUUACAUGAAUUAUCCUUUAUUGCUGCACAAACCCUGACGAAGGUUUUUCUUAAUUAUUUUUGUCUCUAAUUGGAUUUAUAAAUAUGGACCUUAUAAGUGUCUCUAGAAUGUUUUGUUGGUAAUACUGGAGAGCAUUAUAGCACUGAGAUUGCUUUGCUUCUCCAUGCAUGCUUUGAAGUUUGAAUUGCAAUGAAAUAAAAAUAUUUC